rnacentral:rRNA from 3 species
GGACUACUCGGGUUUCUAAUCCCGUUCGCUCCCCUAGCUUUCGCGCCUCAGCGUCAGAAGAGGUCCAGCACGUCGCUUUCGCCACCGGCGUUCCUUCCGAUAUCAACGCAUUUCACCGCUCCACCGGAAGUUCCACAUGCCCCUACCUCCCUCAAGACGGCCAGUAUCAAGGGCUAUUUUCCGGUUGAGCCGAAAGAUUUCACCCCUGACUUGACCACCCGCCUACGCGCCCUUUAAGCCCAGUGAUUCCGAACAACGUUUGCACGGUUCGUCUUACCGCGGCGGCUGGCAC